UCAAGUGAUCCAAGCCAUUGGUUUGUAAAUAAAUAGAGGUACAGCCCCUCUUCGUUCUUCACGCUUAGGCCCCUCUCUCCUUCAUCUUCUUUCUGAUUUGUCUCUUGUAGGAAGCUCUCUGCAUUCUUUUUCUCUAUUCUCAUGAUUUGCAGCAAACCUUUCUCUCCCUCUGCUUUGUUCGUUCAGUAGCUCAAAAGAGAAGAAGAAAACUCUUUUCUUCUUUUCCACUGGAUGUUCGGGUAGUUCAGUAAAAGAAGGAUCCUCUCCUUUACUAUAGGAUAUGAGGAUGAAGAAUAUCAGGACUAUCCAGAUGCUUAGAUGGAUAUGAGUAGCAGUCUUUUUUUUAGGCUAGGUUACCUCGUGUUGUGGUCUCUUGGAUGUGAUGGACUACCCUGCUUAGUUUAUCCUUUCAUGUACAUAUGUCAAACUCCUUUUUAUGUUCCUGAUGCUAUAAUAUUUUGGUAUUACUGAUACUUUAUUAAGUGCCGCUUGUGGCACAUAUGUUAUUAUUUUGGAUGUAAUUAUUAUAUCAGAACAAAAGGUUAUUAUUUU